GGCACUGUGACCGAGUGGUUAAGGUGAUGGACUUGAAAUCCAUUGGGCUAUGCCCGCGCAGGUUCGAAUCCUGCCAGUGUCG
rnacentral:tRNA from 1 species